rnacentral:lncRNA from 1 species
CAUUCCCUAACCAUAUCGAAAGGGAUGUGAGCAUAGUGGGGAACGUGGACGAAUGGAAAGUCAGAAGAUGUGUUUCAGAAAUAAGGACGCCUCUGCAGAAAAUCUGGGAGGUACUGGUUAAGAAAGGAUUGCUUUGUCACCCCGAUAGAAUUCUCGGAGAAGAAGGUCAAAGUUUUUGCAAUUUUCAUGGGAUUGUUGGGCACGA